rfam:Gossypium hirsutum cultivar TM-1 unplaced genomic scaffold scaffold2691.1, whole genome shotgun sequence
UGUUAAAAAUUUCAUUUAUUUUUACUGUUAACAAAUAGUGUAGCCGAUGGAAUAACCAAACAGUUAGACGUCAUGCAACAUGUACCUUAUGCUGACGUACAAGGACCCUUUUUUUACAGUAAAAAUGGAUAGAAUUUAUAGCA